rnacentral:rRNA from 1 species
AACGAACGCUGGCGGCAUGCCUAACAUAUGCCAGUCGAACGAGACCUUCGGGUCUAGUGGCGCACGGGUGCGUAACGCGUGGGAACCUGCCCUUAGGUUCGGAAUAACUCCCCGAAAGGGGUGCUAAUACCGGAUAAUGUCUUCGGACCAAAGAUUUAUCGCCUUUGGAUGGGCCCGCGUUGGAUUAGCUAGUUGGUAGGGUAAAAGCCUACCAAGGCGACGAUCCAUAGCUGGUCUGAGAGGAUGAUCAGCCACACUGGGACUGAGACACGGCCCAGACUCCUACGGGAGGCAGCAGUGGGGAAUAUUGGACAAUGGGCGAAAGCCUGAUCCAGCAAUGCCGCGUGAGUGAUGAAGGCCUUAGGGUUGUAAAGCUCUUUUACCCGGGAUGAUAAUGACAGUACCGGGAGAAUAAGCUCCGGCUAACUCCGUG